GAUGAACGCUGGCGGCGUGCCUAAUACAUGCAAGUCGAGCGAACGGACGAGAAGCUUGCUUCUCUGAUGUUAGCGGCGGACGGGUGAGUAACACGUGGAUAACCUACCUAUAAGACUGGGAUAACUUCGGGAAACCGGAGCUAAUACCGGAUAAUAUUUUGAACUGCAUGGUUCAAAAGUGAAAGACGGUCUUGCUGUCACUUAUAGAUGGAUCCGCGCUGCAUUAGCUAGUUGGUAAGGUAACGGCUUACCAAGGCAACGAUGCAUAGCCGACCUGAGAGGGUGAUCGGCCACACUGGAACUGAGACACGGUCCAGACUCCUACGGGAGGCAGCAGUAGGGAAUCUUCCGCAAUGGGCGAAAGCCUGACGGAGCAACGCCGCGUGAGUGAUGAAGGUCUUCGGAUCGUAAAACUCUGUUAUUAGGGAAGAACAUAUGUGUAAGUAACUGUGCACAUCUUGACGGUACCUAAUCAGAAAGCCACGGCUAACUACGUGCCAGCAGCCGCGGUAAUACGUAGGUGGCAAGCGUUAUCCGGAAUUAUUGGGCGUAAAGCGCGCGUAGGCGGUUUUUUAAGUCUGAUGUGAAAGCCCACGGCUCAACCGUGGAGGGUCAUUGGAAACUGGAAAACUUGAGUGCAGAAGAGGAAAGUGGAAUUCCAUGUGUAGCGGUGAAAUGCGCAGAGAUAUGGAGGAACACCAGUGGCGAAGGCGACUUUCUGGUCUGUAACUGACGCUGAUGUGCGAAAGCGUGGGGAUCAAACAGGAUUAGAUACCCUGGUAGUCCACGCCGUAAACGAUGAGUGCUAAGUGUUAGGGGGUUUCCGCCCCUUAGUGCUGCAGCUAACGCAUUAAGCACUCCGCCUGGGGAGUACGACCGCAAGGUUGAAACUCAAAGGAAUUGACGGGGACCCGCACAAGCGGUGGAGCAUGUGGUUUAAUUCGAAGCAACGCGAAGAACCUUACCAAAUCUUGACAUCCUUUGACAACUCUAGAGAUAGAGCUUUCCCCUUCGGGGGACAAAGUGACAGGUGGUGCAUGGUUGUCGUCAGCUCGUGUCGUGAGAUGUUGGGUUAAGUCCCGCAACGAGCGCAACCCUUAAGCUUAGUUGCCAUCAUUAAGUUGGGCACUCUAAGUUGACUGCCGGUGACAAACCGGAGGAAGGUGGGGAUGACGUCAAAUCAUCAUGCCCCUUAUGAUUUGGGCUACACACGUGCUACAAUGGACAAUACAAAGGGCAGCGAAACCGCGAGGUCAAGCAAAUCCCAUAAAGUUGUUCUCAGUUCGGAUUGUAGUCUGCAACUCGACUACAUGAAGCUGGAAUCGCUAGUAAUCGUAGAUCAGCAUGCUACGGUGAAUACGUUCCCGGGUCU
rnacentral:rRNA from 1 species